GGUCAGGUGGUGUAGUGGUAACACCCUUGCUAUGUAUAUAGUCAGAAGCACUGGGUUCAAUUCCCUGUCUGGCCA